UCAUUUUGUAUUAGAAAAAACACCGAAAUGGCACAGGUGUUGCAAAAACCAACAAAAAAAAACUAAAAACAAGAGUGGCCAGAGGCCAAAAAACAGAAACAGAAACUGUGCACCUAGGCUACACAAGGUCAUGCAGUCCUGAAUAUUUGAGAUGCAAUGAAAUUUUUGGGAUAUAUUAAUGAAUUCCUAAUCUCCAAGUAACUUGUGGAUGUGGCACAUCUAACUUGAAUAAGUUGUUUCCUCAAGAACGGGAGUUGAAUUGUUAGAGUCAAUGCCUUAUUAACUAGACAGAUUAACUUUGGAAUCAAAUUGCGCUCGCUGCAAUUAGAUUUGAUCUUCCGUCUGGUAAUGCGCUGUUAACAAAUAAAACGUUGAACCAAUCACCCAUGUUCAUGCAUGAUCAGUUGUUGACUAUGACUAGUUUUUCUGACACCAAAUUUCCUGGAUUUAGUUUAUUCAUUGUUGAAGCACAUAUGUCUUGCGAAGAGUUGACUUCUUUCGGUGCAAACGGUGAGUUGGCUAAACUGUUGGCGCAUAAACUGAUGGCCACACAUGAUUAUUUUUGGCAAAUUAGUGUGGACCUUAAAAAACUUCAUUCAUAUAUUGAGCUUCUAAUUAUAAAACAGAGAACGUCAUCAAUGUAACAAAUGACACAAAGAGGAUGAUUAUAUGAAAUCAAGCACAUCUUAUCCGGUGCAUGCAUGUCCUCCAUUCUUCCAUGAAAAAUUCUGUUCCUUUCAACUUCAAGUGCAGGCCGGCAGGAGCAGGAGAAGCCAUUGUUCACGGAGGAAUGCAACAAUUGUCAACGUGGCGAUCAAUAGAAGAUAUGUCUCUUAACUCCAGUAUCCAAGUCGUCGAUAAUUAAUCUUCUCUCUCUCUUUCGAUGAACAUAAUGUGAUCUGCCAAAUCCAGAAAAUGCACUGCUGUUACGUACUGCCAUUGUUCCUAGUCAAUGUUUCUCUACCUGCAGCGGUGACACAUUCAGAAGAACCUCAUGCUCUCCAAGCAAAAUAUUUGCCUCCUCGUCGUCGUUGCCAUCGUGCCCGAUUUGAUCUGAUCCUGAACUAAAUCUCGCGGGAUCCGGCGGACGGCAGAGCUGAGUGUUCUUCGUCAACACAGAAUCGGGAAGCAGGAUUCUAAUGGCUCAAGUCGAUCGAUCGGUGUCAGGCAUGAUCCUUGACACGCAAUGAGAUCUCUGGAGAGUUUGUGUUUCGUCUGCAGAUUGGUUCAUGCAGGGGGUGGGUGCUGACCAUGGGCCUUUGAUAGCGCUCUGACUUGCACCAUGUUUCUUAGCAUGAUAUCUUGGUGAAUCUGGGAUGCGUCCGACAUGUAAUGUAAUCUAUGAUCAGUGGCCGGUCUCCGCUGGCACCCUGGACAGGUUAGGUCUGACUAUAUCGGCUCAUUGGCUUGGAUGGCGCCAUGUGGAAGAUGAGAGAGUUACGCUUACGCACUUGCGCUCCUCCCCUGACUUGGCCUCAGCCCUUGUUUUGCUGAACUCGUCCCGUGUUGUCAGCUUGUGGUCUGAGAUGUAAAACCUAAAAUCCUGUUCACUCUAUCACAAGUACAUAUAUGCCUAGUUUAAAGCGGAUUGACCUUGUUAUCAUCAUUAGAUGCAUCACUUAACAUUUAACAUAUGGGACAGAAAGUUCCGAGUUGUCUUUACUGUCAAAAAACAAACAAUAAACCUCGAGCUGUCAAUCAAAGAAGCAGGCAGGCAGCCGGGUGAUCUGUCAAGUAGUAGAUCUUUAGACAGAUCUCUGGCGUCAGGCAAAGGACUCGGCUGCUACCUCAGAUAAUCCCGGCACGUGUGUGUAAUAAGUAUGUACACUCCAGGAACACAAGACCAAGUGUGCU